ensembl:snRNA U5 U5 spliceosomal RNA
ACACUUGUUCCUCUUCAGAUCGUAUAAAUCUUUCACAUUUUACUAAAGAUUCCUGUGGAGAGUAACAAUCAGAGUUUUACUCAAUUUUUUGAUGCCCUGCGAAAGCAAAAG